UAAAAAUAAAUUAAUAAAAUAAAUAUUUAAUAAAAAUAAUUUUAAUAAAAUAAUUUUAAUGGGGGUUAAAGUAUAUUUUAGAAAAAAUUUUUUUUUAUUAAUAGUAUAAUAGUAUUGUAGAAGAAUUUUGAAAUAUAUAAAAAAUAUAUUAGAUAAUAAGUAAAUUUUAUUUAUUGUAUCUUGUGUAUCAGAGUUUAUUUAAUAAUUAUUUUUAUAAAAAAUAUCUCGAAUUUAAAAGAGAUAAUUAAUUAGUAAAUUUAAUGUUGCAUAAUUAUUUUUAAUAAUUAAUUUGAAAUGAAAUGUUAAUCGUUUUUAAAUAUAUCUAGUUUUUUUAGAAAAAAAUUAAAUUUUUAAUUAAUUUUUAUUAUUUUUUAAUUUAUUAAAAAAAAAUAAGAUUAAUUAAAUAUUUUAAAGGAUAAGCUUUAAAUUAAAAUUUUAUAAUAUAUUUAUAUUUUUAAAUAAUUUUUUUAUAAAUCAUAAAAAUUUAUUUAUAUGUAUAAAUAAAAUUUUUAAAAAUUAUAUUUUUUAUAAAUUAUAAUUUUUUAUAAAUAAUUUUAUUUAAUUAAAAAUUUUAUAUAAAUUAAUUUAAUUUUUUAUAAAAAAAUAAUAUAUAAUAAUAUAGAAUUAGAAAUAAUGAUAAAAUUAGUAUAUUUUUAAUUAUGGUAUUAAAAUUUUUAUAAUUAAAAUAAAAGAAUUCGGCAAAAUUAUAUAUUCACCUGUUUAUCAAAAACAUGUCUUUUUGAGAAUAAUAUAAAGUCUAAUCUGCCCACUGAAUUAAUUUAAAGGGCUGCAGUAUAUUGACUGUACAAAGGUAGCAUAAUCAAUAGUCUUUUAAUUGGAGACUUGUAUGAAUGAUUUAAUGAAAUAUAAACUGUUUCUAUUUUAAAAUUAGAAUUUAAUUUUUUAGUUAAAAGGCUAAAAUAAAUAUAAAAGACGAGAAGACCCUAUAGAGUUUUAUAAUUAUUUAAUUAUAAUUUAUUUAUAAAAAUUAAUUAUUUUAAUUAAAUAAUUAUUUUGUUGGGGUGAUAGAAAAAUAAAAAUAACUUUUUUUUUUAUUAAACAUUAAUAUAUGAGUAUUUGAUCCAUAAUUUAUGAUUAUAAGAAUAAAUUACCUUAGGGAUAACAGCGUAAUUUUUUUUUUUAGUUCGGAUAAAAAAGAAAGUUUGCGACCUCGAUGUUGGAUUAAGAUAAAAUUUAAACGCAAAAGUUUAAAAUUUUUGAUCUGUUCGAUCAUUAAAAUCUUACAUGAUCUGAGUUCAAACCGGUGUAAGCCAGGUUGGUUUCUAUCUUUAUAUAAAUAAAAUAAUUUAGUACGAAAGGAUUAAUUAUUUUAAAUAAUUUAAUUUUUAAGAAUAUUAUUAAAUAUAAUU
rnacentral:rRNA from 1 species